rnacentral:rRNA from 1 species
GCCUAGCCCUAAACAAAGAUAGCCCACCACUUACGCUAUCCGCCCGGGUACUACGAGCAUCAGCUUAAAACCCAAAGGACUUGGCGGUGCUUUAGAUCCACCUAGAGGAGCCUGUUCUAGAACCGAUAAUCCCCGUUAAACCUCACCCUUCCUUGCCUUUUCCGCCUAUAUACCGCCGUCGUCAGCUCGCCCUUUGAGGGUAAAAUAAUGAGCCAAACUGGCACUGCCCUAGACGCCAGGUCGAGGUGUAGCGAAUGGAGGGGGAAGAAAUGGGCUACAUUCAAUAAACUACAAUGAAUUACGGAUGGUGGAUUGAAAAAUCUGCCUAAAGGAGGAUUUAGCAGUAAGCAAGAAAUAGAGUGUCUUGCUGAAUUUGGCCCUGAAGCGCGC